rnacentral:rRNA from 1 species
AUGGAUCCGCCGAUGCCGAUGUCCCUGGUGUUCCCGUCGCUCGAUCCGCCGAAGCCGGCCGCCCUCCUCUCCAUGGAUCUGCUGCUGGAGGAGGCUUUCCGGGCCAUGGCGCGCGCGGCGGAGCAGUUCCGCUCCCUGGGCGAGAAGCAGGCCAAGCGCCUCAUGGUCGCCGGCUCCGGGGGCGGCAAGCUGCGGGAGGUGGCGACCCAGCUGGAGCAGGUCCGCGACCUGCUCGGGGCCGUCGACGACGGGGGGAGCUCCCCGGCGGCGGCGGCGGAGUCCUUCUACGGCAUCGACGACCUGCUUGACGAGAUGGAGUACCACAUGCUCGCCUUCCACCUCGAAGCCUCUGCAAAUACAAAUCCAAAGGUCAGCAAUCCCCUCGCUUCUGCCCUCAGGCUGGGCAGGCGAUUCCUUAGCAGCAGCAGCAGCAGCAGCGAUGGGGCGUCCCGCUCCCGGUGGUUCCUCAAGGACCUGGAUUCCGUCGCAGCCACUCUGACCUCUCUGCUCAACCAAGUCCAAGGCUCCAGUCUGCCGCUUGCCAUCUCCGAUGCGCCGCCCCAGGACCACAAGCUGUUUGGCCGCACCAGGGAGCUCAAUGACAUUGUGCAGAUGCUGACAGAGCCGCUCUCAUCCCACCAUCCUACCCUCAAGGUCAUCUCCAUUGUUGGCUUCGGCGGUCUGGGCAAGACCACGCUCGCCCAGUCGGUCUACGACCACAUCGGAGUACAGCGCCACUUUGAUCUCACAGCAUGGGCACAUGUCUCCGCCAAGCCUGACAGACUGGAACUAGCAGCUCAGAUACUGCGUUCCGCCAGCCCAGCCUACCGUGGAUCCAUCGACAAAGAUGCCACCUUCGGAGCUCUUCAGUCGCAACUCACUCAACUUCUGGCAUCCAAGAGAUUUCUGCUUGUUCUCGAUGAUGUGUGGGAUGUGCCCCAAGAUACAUGGCAGGAACUCCUCAUUCCUCUUAAAUCUGCCCAAAGUGGGAGCAGAAUUAUUGUGACCACCAGAACACCAAAGGUUGCUGACAUGCUCGGUGCAUCUCACACCUACCACCUGAAUCCACUGGGCAUCGAAGAUUGUUGGUCCUUGUUCCACCGAUAUGCUUUUGGGGGCUGGAGCACACAUGAUUCCAGUGAUGAACUGGAGCAGAUUGGGAGGACGAUUGUUGCUAAAGUCGACGGAUUGCCUUUGGCUGUCAAGGUGCUGGCAGGACUGCUUGGAGCUACAAAGAGCACAAAGUACUGGCGUAUUAUCUCGGAAAAACAAUUUUCCGGAGAUGCCACUCUCUCCUCGCUGCGCUUGAGCUACAGUUACCUGCCAGGACGACUCAAGCAAUGCUUUGCAUUCUGCAGCAUAUUUCCCAGGAACUGGAAGUUUGACCAAAGAACCAUGAUCCGCCUUUGGAUGGCCAAUGGUUUUAUACAGUCCCAAACCGACACUGGUAAAAGGAUGGAGGAUCUGGGCACAGAUUACUUCAAUGCUCUCCUAUCUCGGUCAUUCUUCCAAACUCUUAGGCAGGGUCCUCGCACACACUGUAUCAUGCACGACCUGAUCCAUGAUCUUGCAGUGUCAGUUUCAACCAAUGAUUGCUUUCAAUUUGAGCCUGGCGUGACCCGUUUUAUCCCCUCAACAGUGCGCCAUAUCUCGGUCACUACGGAUGGCACAGAAGACAUCAAUGCUGCCAUCAACAUGCUACCGAAGAAGCUGCGCACCUUGUUAGUUCUGAGAACUCGUUCUUUCUCCUCAUAUUGUCUUCAAGGAGACUUUUUAGCGAAGCUCAAGACUCUGAGGGUGCUUGAUAUUAGCCACUCUGACUAUACUGAAUUGCCAAGAUCCAUUUCCUGCUUAAUCCAUCUCCGUUACCUGUCCCUAUGUCGCACCAUUCGGAGUCUUCCAGAGUCGACAAGCAAGCUGCUCCAUCUACAAACGUUGCACUUUACAGACAGGUGUUCCCUUGAUAAGCUUCCAGCAGGAAUAAAUAGGCUUGUAAAGUUGCGGCACCUUGGAAUCGACAUGAAGUACAUUGCACAGCUACCAGGCAUUGGUCGGCUUAUUAAUCUGCAGGGAUCUGUUGAGUUCUGUGUUAAAAAGGGGGGAGGGCAUGCCUUGCAGGAGCUGAAGGGCAUGAACGGUCUCCAUGGCCAACUAAAAAUUAAAGGCCUUGACAAUGUUUUGAGCAAGGAUGAAGCCACCAAGACCGACAUGAAAAGAAAAGAGAAUCUCAAGGCGCUGAGACUGGAAUGGAGUUCAGCUAGUAGAGGUCUCACCCCUGUGACUGACUAUGAAGUACUAGAAAACCUACAGCCACAUCAAAACUUGAAGGAACUUCAUAUUGUAAGGUAUCUUGGCGCAACAGCUCCGAGUUGGUUGCAGUUUGCGGCGCUGAGGGAACUGCAAUCCUUGCACCUUGUUAAUUGCAGGAGCUUGGGCGUUCUACCUCCACUGGGGCUCCUGCCAUCACUCCAACAAUUACACAUGAAGGAGCUGUGCACAGUUAAGCGAAUUGGACAUGAGUUCUAUGGUACAGUUGACUUGUCAUUUCCAUCCCUGAAGGUUCUUGUGUUUGAUGACUUUCCCAGCUUGGUUGAGUGGUCUGAAGUGAGGGCCGAUCCAUUUCCUUGUCUCCAGAAGCUAGAGAUUGUAGACUGCCCAAAGUUGAUUCAAGUUCCUGCAUUUCCCCCAUCUGUCUCUGAACUUAAAGUGGAGCGAACAUUGUUGAUAUCCAAUAUGAGGCUUGCUCCAUAUUCUUCGUCAAGAUUAGAGAUAUUCACACUGAGUGUUUCCACAACUAGUGUACUUUGCAGGGGACUAUUCCAUCAAAGCCAUCUAGAAUCUAUUGUGGUUUUAAACAUAAAUGCUGGCUACAAGCAGCUUGUUUCUGCUGAGGGACUGCACUGUUUUACGUCUCUCCAAAAGCUUCAGCUGUGCCACUCUGACAUAUCAGAUCAGGAUUUGGGAAGUCUUCUUCAAGUGCUGCCCUCUUUGUACUCGGUUGAGAUGAUAGAUCUGCCCAACAUGACAUCUCUUCUGGUGCCAACAAAAAAUAAUUUGUGUACGACAGUCACGGAGUUGCAAAUAUCUAACUGUCCACAGCUCUCUUCUAUGGUCUCCUUGGGUACUUUUGUUUCACUGAAACGUUUGGUGAUUGAGAAAUGCCCCAAACUGACGGCAGCAUCCUUCCCAGUAAGUUUUUGGAGACUCACAGCCCUCAAGGUUCUGAGUAUAUCAUACUGCACAGAGUUCCAGUCCUUACCUAGUUGUGGUCUGCCAACCUCAAUAGAAGCACUUCAUCUCGUUGGGUGUCACCCAAAGCUGCAUGAAAAUUCAAGCAACAGAACUGUCAAUUCCUGA